rnacentral:rRNA from 1 species
AAACCAACAGGGAUUGCCUUAGUAACGGCGAGUGAAGCGGCAAAAGCUCAAAUUUGAAAUCUGGCACCUUCGGUGUCCGAGUUGUAAUUUGAAGAAGGUAACUUUGGAGUCAGCUCUUGUCUAUGUUCCUUGGAACAGGACGUCACAGAGGGUGAGAAUCCCGUGCGAUGAGAUGUCUGAUUCUAUGUAAAGUGCUUUCGAAGAGUCGAGUUGUUUGGGAAUGCAGCUCUAAGUGGGUGGUAAAUUCCAUCUAAAGCUAAAUAUUGGCGAGAGACCGAUAGCGAACAAGUACAGUGAUGGAAAGAUGAAAAGAACUUUGAAAAGAGAGUGAAAAAGUACGUGAAAUUGUUGAAAGGGAAGGGUUUGAGAUCAGACUUGGUAUUUUGUAUGUCUUGCUUUCGGGCGGGGCCUCUACAGUUUACUGGGCCAGCAUCGGUUUGGACGGUAGGAUAAUGACAUUGGAAUGUGGCACCACCUCGGUGGUGUGUUAUAGACUUUGUUGAUACUGCCUGUCUAGACCGAGGACUGCGUCUUUGACUAGGAUGCUGGCAUAAUGAUCUUAAACCGC